AAGUCUGCUGUUAAAAGUUGGAGCUUAACUCCGAAACUGGGCUUGAUACUGGUAGGCUUGAGUGUGGUAGGGGCAGAGGGAAUUCCCGGUGUAGCGGUGAAAUGCGUAGAUAUCGGGAAGAACACCAGUGGCGAAGGCGCUCUGCUGGGCCAUCACUGACGCUCAUGGACGAAAGCCAGGGGAGCGAAAGGGAUUAGAUACCCCUGUAGUCCUGGCCGUAAACGAUGAACACUAGGUGUCGGGGGAAUCGACCCCCUCGGUGUCGUAGCCAACGCGUUAAGUGUUCCGCCUGGGGAGUACGCACGCAAGUGUGAAACUCAAAUG
rnacentral:rRNA from 1 species